UAGUGGCCUACCAAGGCGACGACGGGUAGCCGGCCUGAGAGGGUGACCGGCCACACUGGGACUGAGACACGGCCCAGACUCCUACGGGAGGCAGCAGUGGGGAAUAUUGCGCAAUGGGCGGAAGCCUGACGCAGCGGCGCCGCGUGGGGGAUGACGGCCUUCGGGUUGUAAACUUCUUUCAGUAGGGACGAAGCGGAAGUGACGGUACCUACAGAAGAAGCACCGGCCAACUACGUGCCAGCAGCCGCGGUAAUACGUAGGGUGCAAGCGUUGUCCGGAAUUAUUGGGCGUAAAGAGCUCGUAGGCGGUUUGUUGCGUCGGCUGUGAAAACCUGAGGCUCAACCUCAGGCCUGCAGUCGAUACGAGCAGACUAGAGUGUUGCAGGGGAGACUGGAAUUCCUGGUGUAGCGGUGAAAUGCGCAGAUAUCAGGAGGAACACCGGUGGCGAAGGCGGGUCUCUGGGCAACAACUGACGCUGAGGAGCGAAAGCGUGGGGAGCGAACAGGAUUAGAUACCCUGGUAGUCCACGCCGUAAACGUUGGGCGCUAGGUGUGGGGCUCAUUCCACGAGUUCCGUGCCGCAGCUAACGCAUUAAGUG
rnacentral:rRNA from 1 species